rnacentral:snRNA from 1 species
AGCUUUGUGCAGGGGCAGCAUUGUAGCCAAGGUUUAUCCGGGACACGAUUAUUGCUAAUUGAAGACUUUCCCCGGGGCACCAGGCUGGCUCGGGUCAGUGGAACAUCCGACUCUUGACCUCAGG